GAUGAACGCUGGCGGCGUGCCUAAUACAUGCAAGUCGAGCGAACGGACGAGAAGCUUGCUUCUCUGAUGUUAGCGGCGGACGGGUGAGUAACACGUGGAUAACCUACCUAUAAGACUGGGAUAACUUCGGGAAACCGGAGCUAAUACCGGAUAAUAUUUUGAACCGCAUGGUUCAAAAGUGAAAGACGGUCUUGCUGUCACUUAUAGAUGGAUCCGCGCUGCAUUAGCUAGUUGGUAAGGUAACGGCUUACCAAGGCAACGAUGCAUAGCCGACCUGAGAGGGUGGACGGCCACCCCUGAGCUGGGGCACCGUCCCAGCUCCUAAGGGGAGCCACAGUAGGGAAUCUUCCGCAAUGGGCGAAAGCCUGACGGAGCAACGCCGCGUGAGUGAUGAAGGUCUUCGGAUCGUAAAACUCUGUUAUUAGGGAAGAACAUAUGUGUAAGUAACUGUGCACAUCUUGACGGUACCUAAUCAGAAAGCCACGGCUAACUACGUG
rnacentral:rRNA from 1 species